UAAAGAUUUUUACAUUUUCCCUCAACAAUAGUUAAUUAAGGGUAAACAUUUUGGUCUUAUUGUAAUCCCCAUGCAAAGCUCCCAAAUUGAUUGUUCUCCCCACUUUGUCUACCUUUCCGCCACCGAGGUAAGAAAUUCCCGAGAUCUGGAAUUAUCGUUUUUGUUUCGUUGUGUUUAGCAAACUACAUGUGUUUGAGAGUUUAUAAAGUUGUUUUUGUAAGACCAAAGUCAUCUUCAUUUUCCGCUAUUAAUAUAACGUCGUCAGUACGGCAUAAAAUAUUAAUCACACCUCUACAUGUUACAUCCUUUCAUCUCCUUGACUCUUUGCAUGACUUCUUCCAUUAUUAAAGCCAAGAAUCAUUUUAUUUUAAGACCUUGUUGCCUGAAAUUUGAAAGACUCGUGAUUGUCUUGAUGAAGUCUAAUGUGGUAGACGUAUUACUAGUGAGGGAUCUGAUUUCAAGAAGCGAUCCAUUAGUAUCAAAGUUCCCCUUGUUUGUUUAUAAUUUCAAGAGAAUGUUUAGAAAAUCAGAUGUGGCAGUCGGAGUUUUGUUCGAAUGAUUUUUCUGUCCCCUCGCAGAGAAAGCUGUGAUCUUUAAAAUAUGAUGCAAAGUUUAUCAAGAAUGUCGUAAUGCUACAAUUGUGCGGUCAUAUAAAGCAAUUUCCUUUCUAACAUACAGUGUUAGGUAAUCGUGGAACUCUUGUAAGUGCGAGAUGCGCAGGAAUUAAGAGUUCUCCAAGGGUGGCCUGCGAUGUGGGUGGUGGAAUGUGCCGUUGCUGGGCGGAACCGCGUCUUUGUUUACAUUAUAGCUCCCAAGCGGAGAAAUUCUUAAUUUGUUCGAUUGUCGAUAGGUGAGGAGUUCCAAUGGUAUCGAUUUUGGGAGGUGAUUGCGCAAACAGUAAGCAACAGCGGAAAAACUGCCGUAAAUAAGUUAGCACAAACCUUUGGGAGUUUGGCAGUUUUGAAGACACAGCUCACGAAGACAGAUUCCUUCUCGGUUAAGAAUUGUGAUAAAUGGUCGGUUGAAACAGGUUUGGACGAGAAAGAGGUUUACUGUGUCUGUGGGUAGAUUGUUUGAUGGUUGUCGGGUCAAGGUAGUGCCCAAAGUUCUACCUGCCUCGGAUCAUUCAAUAAGACCACAAGUGAUUCACUAGGGCGAAAUGAUUAAAUGUUUUUUACACAACUUAAUGGGAUUGAGGGAGGUUUUGUAACACUAUCUGCAAGUCUAAUCAAGCUUUUCAGAUUUCGGGGGUAAUUACAAUCGCUCGGUUAACAAUGGCCGCUUGAGGAAAUUGAUCUUCUGGAGUCGACACUUCCGGUGUCACGUGACUGGAACAUGAAGGGUUUCUUUCCUCGCAUUCCGGUACAUUCCGGAUGUCGUCCAUUCGACGCAAUAAAGCCGCAUUUCAGUUUAUACUUGAUGAUAAAAAAAGUGGAUACUCGCUUCGCUGCUUUUAUUUACUGUGCAAAACACAAUAGUUAUGGUUCGUGCAGCCGUCAAUAAGCACUUUUCACAGAACUUGCAAAAAUUUUUCAACAAGCGGCUAAUUAGCAGCAUUUACAAGAGACAAGUGGCAUUCACGGUCUGCAUCGGUUUUCUGUUAGCCUAAAUAGAAAAUGUUGAAACGAAUUCAAGGCUCGAUUUACAUAACUUGAGGUGGCGCAACGUUCCAGCGAUCAUUCUUUUAGGAAGAUUCGGGUAAUUCGAAUCAGGUGGGAGGACAUUCAACCGGGAGGAUAAUCAGCGAGCGACUUAUCGCCGGUUUUAUGACGGCGAUAAAAGCGUUAUUAAAAUUGCAUCGAAUCCAAUUUAUUUAAAUUAGAGGACGCAGUCGAUCACAAUUAAAAAAUUAAUGAAUCUGGGACGAGUCGAUGAUUGUUUGGAAUAGGGACACACGCACAUUUGGACAUUCACACCCUGCUGGAUGGACGUGUAUAACUUUCUCAAUAUAGACGAUCCCCACGCAAUCCCACUAGGUAAACUUUCCACAUUUCCUGGCCUCCGAAAUCCGGAAACUUUAAUGAAAUACCAUUAUAUACAACAUUAUCCAGUUUCGGACGUCCAUGAUGAAAUGGGGAUUAGGCAAUGCUGGGCCAUUGUGUAUCCGUCACUUUAUACUUUAUAAUGCCACUUUAUUCUGCCCUUUGCCGCCGAAUUGCCCUAAUUACACCACGAAUUUAAUUAAAUCCUGCUCGGACGGAGAGAAAAUUUUACGGCGACUGGGGGGAAUUCGUCUUCGGACCAAAUUCGAUUCAGUCGGGCCUUUGAUGACUGGCACAUUUUUAAUACGACGGGUAUCUGAGAAACGGAAAUUGGACACAACCCUCCAAUUAAUUUAUUCAGGUCCCUUGGAAACGUCGAAUGAAUACUAGGCUCAACUUGUUUACAUAAACCGAGCCGGAGAAUUCAAUCUUUUCCAAAGCGAUAGUUUUAGACACGAAAAGAUGGCCAGAAAGGAUUUUCUUGAUGCUCUGUCGUCCAUCACAAUGAUAAACUCUUGUAUAACAGUUUACGGAUGUAUUUUUCAAUACAUUAUUCAACAAGUUUUUAUUGUUCAAAAUGAAUGAUUUCUAAACAUAUUAAUAUUCAUUUUUGUUUCACUUAUUGUUAAUUAUGACGCAAGCGGUUAAAAUAUAAAUUGGUACACUUUAGCUAGCUAACCGCAACUGUUAUUCCAAAACAAAAAUACGUAACAUUCGACACCUGAGUUAUUAUAAAAUGCAGUACAGAGAAAAAGGCAGAUUGGACUUUCAAAGUUUCCUCCUCUUCAGAAUCGAUGUGCCAAUUUGUUCUAUUCUUUCUCCUUAUGACAGGGAGAUAAAAGAUAUUUGAGGGCACAGACAAGUCAGUGGAUUUAUCGUGCACUGCUCUAUUUGAACUUUGCUCGUCUGAAAAUACUGAAAAGCUUUGCCAGCCAGUAAUUUGAGUAGUAGUAAAAGUUUUUUGCCUGAAAUGUUGAGUUAACGAUAGUAUGGAUUGUUAGAAAGUUCCUUAGGGAUUAAACUGGUUUUCUUGAAGGUCUUUAAAUCAGCAAUUAGCUAUGUUACGAUUGAAAAAGUAAUUGUAAUAACUAAAAACAUAGAUCUGAAACGGUGGUACGUGAGUUUAGAUUUAGAUUAAAUUCAGUGCAAAGUUAACAAAAUGUACUAUAACUUGCUUAAGCGGUUGUAAUUUUUCUUCUAUAAAACCACGACGAAGUAUUUAUAUUUAUCUAAAAUAACAUUUUUGGAACAACUUUCACGAAUGGUUUACCUAC